AACGAACGCUGGCGGCAUGCCUAACACAUGCAAGUCGAACGAGACCUUCGGGUCUAGUGGCGCACGGGUGCGUAACGCGUGGGAACCUGCCCUUAGGUUCGGAAUAACUCCCCGAAAGGGGUGCUAAUACCGGAUAAUGUCUUCGGACCAAAGAUUUAUCGCCUUUGGAUGGGCCCGCGUUGGAUUAGCUAGUUGGUAGGGUAAAAGCCUACCAAGGCGACGAUCCAUAGCUGGUCUGAGAGGAUGAUCAGCCACACUGGGACUGAGACACGGCCCAGACCCCUAGGGGGGGCAGGGGGGGGGAAUUUUGGACAAGGGGCGAAAGCCUGACCCAGCAAUGCCGGGGGAGUGAUGAAGGCCUUAGGGUUGUAAAGCUCUUUUACCCGGGAUGAUAAUGCCGGUCCCGGGAGAAUAAGCCCCGGCUAACUCCGU
rnacentral:rRNA from 1 species